rnacentral:lncRNA from 1 species
UGCUGAGUACCUGCCAGGUCCCAGGUUGUACAGAAAACCGGGGAAGGUGGAGGAAUCCACAAAAUCAGCCUGUUACUGUGGCUGCGACUACAAGUGUCACCACCGUAUCUGGCAUGGUCUUUUAUUUUUUCUUACAUCUUUCAACUGCCUGCUGAGGCCUGCCACUGCAUCUGCAUCGUGAAAGGUAAUCUGCUUUACUCAGUCUGUUGAUUUAAUUGUUGCUGUCACUUAACAAACA